AAGAGUGUACUAAUGUUAGAAAUGUAUCUUUAAGUUAUUGUUUCACGUCUCCAAAGUUAUUUAUCCAACGAGAUAUCACAAGUAUUUUUAGGAGUAGUAUCUUUAUUUUUCACCGUUUUCAGUUUUCGAGUAGACUAAUAUAUGAUGUAUUUAGGUAUAUUAUUCAGUUCCGCUUGUUUUAUAAAAAAUAUAUAAAAUAUGUCUUUACCCAUUACGGAACAACGGUGUUCCGGACAAUAGGGAGGCGUGAGCGGAGCCGAAGCUAAUGAGACGUAAGAGGUACACCGAGCGAAUGCUGCCCUUGCAAUGCCCGUGUUAUGGGACGGGACGCACGCAGAGACAGCACCCGCCAUGGUGUAGACUAUGACAGGGUGUGAGAGUUAAUCGUUACGUAACACAAAUGCAGAUUAAUCCGCAAAGAUUAAUUAAUUCGCGGUGUAAAAAUUAAUGGCGUGCUUAAUUUUUCAUCUCGUAUUCCCAAUUAUUCAUCAUAACUGAGGAAAAUGUCAAACAUAUUGGCCUACUUGACUUGUGCUUGUUGUUUUUUGGCAUGUAACGUAUUAUCAUUGAGUAAUUACACCAAAAAUUACACUAUGAGAUAUCCCGAACUCUUUAGACAUUACGUUAAUACUAAAUUAUCCGACCGAGCGAGAGAAGUGUUCAUGGACUUUUCAAGUACUAUAUCGUGCAAAGAAAAGGGUGGCAUUUGUGUUUCCAGAGCGGAAUGUACAUCAGAGAGAAAAAUGUACUUCAGCGGAGGCUGCAACACCCGUGAUAAAGUAUGUUGCUACGAGUCCGAAGGAUGGAAAUGAAAAUUAUAAAUAUAUAAUUUGCGUUGCUCUAACAACA